UACGUAGGGGGCUAGCGUUGUCCGGAAUCAUUGGGCGUAAAGCGCGUGUAGGCGGUCCGGUAAGUCCGCUGUGAAAGUCGGGGGCUCAACCCUCGGAUGCCGGUGGAUACUGUCGGGCUUGAGUACGGAAGAGGCGAGUGGAAUUCCUGGUGUAGCGGUGGAAUGCGCAGAUAUCAGGAGGAACACCAACAGCGAAGGCAGCUCGCUGGGACGGUACUGACGCUGAGGCGCGAAAGCGUGGGGAGCGAACAGG
rnacentral:rRNA from 1 species